rnacentral:rRNA from 1 species
GACGAACGCUGGCGGCGUGCUUAACACAUGCAAGUCGAACGCUGAAGCACCAGCUUGCUGGUGUGGAUGAGUGGCGAACGGGUGAGUAAUACGUGAGUAACCUGCCCUUGACUCUGGGAUAAGCCCGGGAAACUGGGUCUAAUACUGGAUGCUACAUGUCACCGCAUGGUGGUGUGUGGAAAGGGUUUACUGGUCUUGGAUGGGCUCACGGCCUAUCAGCUUGUUGGUGAGGUAAUGGCUCACCAAGGCGACGACGGGUAGCCGGCCUGAGAGGGUGACCGGCCACACUAGGACUGAGACACGGCCCAGACUCCUACGGGAGGCAGCAGUGGGGAAUAUUGCACAAUGGGCGAAAGCCUGAUGCAGCGACGCCGCGUGAGGGAUGACGGCCUUCGGGUUGUAAACCUCUUUCAGCAGGGAAGAAGCCACAAGUGACGGUACCUGCAGAAGAAGCGCCGGCUAACUACGUG